CCGGAGGAGAAGAUGCCGCGUUCCUUCUUGGUGAAGACGCAUUCCAGCCACAAAGUCCCCAACUACGGGCAGCUGGAGACGCAGAGAGACCCUCAAAGGGGCAGCUGCAGCAAGAAACCCGAGGGUCAGCAUGGAAGGUGCCCGCUGCGGGCUCAGCGAUGGAAAUAGACCAAGACUGCCAGGCAGUUCUCCCACGGUACCUCUGGGUGGAUGAGACCCACGGGCCUUGUCGUCGGAACCGUUGUACCAGCCACCUCUGCACCCUUCAUUUGGUCCAGCAAACUGCCUACUGACUGCCGCUGUGUGCCCACUCUGGCCCCGGGCGGGAUGGAGGCCUAAGGUCUUCAAGUCUCUGCGCGGAGGCCUCCCACGCACGCACGCACGGCACGCCGGCCAGCUCCCUCAGUCUCUCUGCUUGGGUUGUGUUUUAACGGCUUUGUGGAAACAUGAUUCACGUGCCAUACACUGCUUCCGUUAGCCUGCUCCCGCAGUGGUGAGGUCCCUGGACUUUCACAGGCGGGGACAACAGCCGCCGCCGUCAAGUGGAUGCUGACUCAUGGAGACACCACUGGACCCAGGAGCCCCACUCCCCGGAGGGCUUGCAAGGCUGUAGGCUGUGCAGAAGCAGGCGGCCUCUUCUUUCUCCCGAGGAGUGUCUGGUGGGUGUGAACUGCUGCCCUUCCAGGCGGAGCCCGACUCUUCACCCCCUGCACCAGGGCGCCUGUGUGACCGUCACUGUCUCAUCUUCAGCCCCAGGGCCAAGUCCACCCCCUUUAGCUGUGACCUCCAACGUUGCUCCUGGCAACUCCUGCCUUCCACUCUGUUGUCUCACUGACCCCGGCGGGGGACAGAAACAGAAUCAGGUGCCCUCCAACCGGUUUUACCUGGCCCCUCCCACUCAGCACAGGGUCUCGGAGGGUUCCUCAUGCCUCUUUCCUGUUCACGGCUGGGUGCUAUUCCACCACGCGGCUCCCGUGUGUCUGCCCACCGCCGGUGGUGCACCCCUGAGCACUGUCUCCUUUCGUCACCACGCGGUGCCCAGUGCUCCCUUCCUCUCUGGGUGCGGGCUCACACCCCCGAGCGCUUAGAUAGCUGGCCACAUGGCAAAGAGGGGGUUCGCUUUCCAAAGUGACCGCACCUGUGGCAUGGUCACCAGCAGCGUGGGAGAGCCCUGGUUUUCGCCCUGGUUGUGGCCCUGGUUGUAGUUCUGGUGGUCACCCUGGUGGUCACCCUGGUUGUGGCAUGUGGUUUGGCAGUGUGCAGGGGGAGACCAGAAUUCAGCUCGGACUUUCAGAGCAGCCUGCCGCCUCUGGAACAUGUUGGAUUUCCCUCAAAAAGCCAGUCCUGGUGGACAGCACAGCGCCACGAAACUGCAGCACCACGCAGUGCAGGGAGCCUGGUGGUGGAAAGGGUCUCUGACCACCCCGCUGACCCUCACUGGCAGCCUGGUGGGUGGGCUGAGGUACACUCAGCAGUGAGCGGCCAGGUCUCCCACCUCUGU